rnacentral:rRNA from 1 species
GGCCAGACUCCUACGGGAGGCAGCAGUGGGGAAUAUUGCACAAUGGGGGGAACCCUGAUGCAGCGACGCCGCGUGGGUGAAGAAGCGCCUCGGCGCGUAAAGCCCUGUCAGCAGGGAAGAAAAUGACGGUACCUGAAGAAGAAGCCCCGGCUAACUACGUGCCAGCAGCCGCGGUAAUACGUAGGGGGCAAGCGUUAUCCGGAUUUACUGGGUGUAAAGGGGGCGCAGACGGCGAUGCAAGCCAGGAGUGAAAGCCCGGGGCCCAACCCCGGGACUGCUCUUGGAACUGCGUGGCUGGAGUGCAGGAGGGGCAGGCGGAAUUCCUGGUGUAGCGGUGAAAUGCGUAGAUAUCAGGAGGAACACCGGUGGCGAAGGCGGCCUGCUGGACUGCAACUGACGUUGAGGCCCGAAAGCGUGGGGAGCAAACAGGAUUAGAUACCCCAGUAAA